UGCUUGGGAAAGAAAGAAGCCUUUCCUACACGGAGGCGUUUAGUUCUUUGUUUCUGUAUCGACAAACAGAACGCCCUCCCUCUUUCACAAAAAAAGAGGUUUGGACAUAGAAGACCAAAAAGGGAAGGAUUUUAGCGCAGGUUUGCGGAGCAAGCAGCUGCUCAUUUGUUUUGUCAGUAAUGGAAAGAAGACUUGAACAGCUGAUGACAGGAUGGCCAUCUUAGUUACUUGGCUGUGAUCCUUUUCUCCAUCAGGAAAUACAGAAAACUCCCUAGGCAUGUGUGACCUGGACAUAAAAGAUAGUAUAACUAUGAUGAAAAUUGUUCUGAAUAUACCUUUUUAGAAAGGAGCUCUGGAGUUUUCACAUAAGAAAAGGUGUGCAUGUAGAGCAGGAAAGCUGCUGGCUUCAUUUUCUGUAGUUGCUCAUCUCUCUCAGUAACACAAUGGUUAGUUUUAGCCACUGUGGCUAUUAUCAUUUAGCAACAGAAUGUCUGUUUGGUGAUAUGUGCUACUGUACCUUUACAAAAUAAAAAUGUUAUCCUCUGUCCAAGAUGAUGCAAUAUUUGUUGCCCUUGGCUGUACUGUUUAUGACUUUACACCUCUGAGUCACUGUGUAUGUAUCCAGUCUACUUUACUUCUGAUGAAAAUGUGUACAUGAAUUUGGAUUUAGGAGAUAUCUUUAAAUACUAUCUUGGUGUGAUCUCAUUUGAAAUGGUCCUUACACACUUCUCCACUUGGCUGAAGAAACAACAGCAAAAGCUGUUGCUAAUUUUGUUUUUAAUUAAUUGUGCGGCAUGGAUUUGUUGACGUGCCAUGGAUAAGGGUCAACUAAAUAGAUUUGCCUUGGGUUAAUAGAAGUUUUCCAUCUUGUCUG